CGGCGGCGGCAGGGAGGGAAGACCCCCCUGGCGGCGGCGGCUGAGGGAGCCCCUGGCGGCUGAGAGGAAAAAGAGACCUAACCUAGACUGAAGAUACCAUGUUAGAAUAGGAACCCAUACCCUAAUCAGGGGUUGGGAGUGGUAUUAAAUAGGGAGAGUAACUGGGCCAAGGCCCAUUACACAGGGGUAUAAUGGACAUUACACAGGGAAUAGCACAAACCCUAGACGGGUAGUCUAACAGCAUUGAUGAUAUGAUGCAACAACAUGGAGUAAGUUGUCAGGACAAUGUCAUCAACAUGAAGGAGCAAGUAAGCCUUGUUGUAAUCUCAACUAUAGAUGAACAACGAAGUGCCAUACCGAGCCUCAACAAAGCCGAUGGACUAGACAUUAUGUGGCGUAUCAAACACAGUUUGAGAGCAUAGGGGGACUUCGUGAGCCGGCAGAUGUAGUCGGGGUGAGCUAGAUCAACGAAACCUUGUGGAUGGGAGUACACCAUCUUAGACAGGGUGCCACGAAGAAAGAUAUUCUUCACAUCAAGCUUGGAGCCGGACGGCAUCUUCCGCGCGUUGCUUGGCAGCACUGCAGCAGGCCAGCAGCUUCCUGCUUGGAGGUAGAGGUGGCGGUGAGCUUCGAGUCGGAGGAAGGCAUAAUGGCUGCUGCUGCCGUAGGAGCAAAAGCAGUAUAUGUCAAAGGACCGAGAAGGCGAUAGAUACCAUGUUAGAGAAGCACUGGGUAGUUUUGAGUAGUCUGAGCGGCAAGAAAAGAGCCUAGCCCAACUACAGCUACAAGGCCCAAUAAGGUUGUACGGCUAGCUUUAACACUAUCCUUGUUCAAUUGUAACAUCCAUCCUUGCUGCUGCAGAUUGGUCCACUCAAAAUCGCCAGGUUGGAUUUCAGUGACCAUCAUUUCUUCAGUGCUCAUGACCUAGAGAAAAUUCAAGAAACAGCGAGGAAUCUCAUGGACGAGCACAGCAAAGAUACCAUAGUCUUAGUUACUGAGAAGGAUUAUGACCGUGAUCCAGAGGCCCUCAAGACACUGGACGCAAACGUUUGGGUGCUGUCUUCUUCACUGCAGAUUAUGCAUCACAGCAAACAAGGAGAAGAUGAAUUCAUGAGGAAAGUCAAUGAGAUUAUCACAGUUACCUGGUGUGCGAAGUCACAUGCAGCGGACCGGGCCACGGGUUGCUGAGGGUGUGGUUUGAUAUGGUUGUACCUGAAAGCAACCGGUAGUGAAACAUUUUUGCCUGGAGAUAUGAACAUUAGCAUGCAGGAUAGAGUUUUUCCUUGCAGCUGUGGGGUUGUUUGGGUUUAUGGAUUAAUGUUUAGUCUAUCUAUUUUAUUCCUAUUUUAGUUCAUAAAUUGCUAAACACGAAAACUAAAAUAGAGUUUUAGUUUCUGUAUUGGGCAAACUAGAGACUAAAAAUAAAUAAAAUAGAGGGACUAAAAAUUAGUCCCUAAACCCCAAACAACCCCAGUCAAACCUACAAGAUUUAGGAUGUGUUUGUUUCCCUUCUAGAUUAUAUAAGUUGGACGAUGCUGGAAAGAUAGGAGACUAAAGGCCGGUUUGGUUCA